ACAAGUACCGUGAGGGAAAGUUGGAAAGCACUUUGAAGAGAGAGUUAAAGAGGACGUGAAACCGGUAGGAUGGAAACGGAUAGAGCUAGCGAAGCCGUUUGUUUCAGUCAAAAGCUGUCUGCUCUUGGUUCAUGGGAUGCUUCCGUGUGCUUUGACGUUGGCAGUUGAGAUGCAUGCAAACGGUUGCGCUGAGACUUGUGGGGCAGUUGUUGGAUGCUUGAUUAGAGGCUUCCCUCUGGGUUGAACCUGGUCUUGUGGACAGCGAUUUGCUCUACUCGUAUGGGACGGAAUCUUUGCGUUUUGGCUGUUGCUUGGGUGGAGGUCACAUGUGACUAUCUGCUUUUGUUGCUGUCAAGCGUUGUGGUCCCCGUCACUGCUCUCGGUGUAGAAGCUGGUCAUCUAUCCGACCCGUCUUGAAACACGGACCAAGGAGUUUAGCGUAUGCGCGAGCCAUUGGGUGUUGAAAACCCACAGGCGCAAUGAAAGUGAAGACCCAGUUGCUGGGACGACGUGUGAGCGGAAAGUCUUCGGACGACCGUGCAACAUGGUCCCGUUCCAGUUGCUUGCAACGGUGCGGAGAUAGAGCGUAUGCGCUGAGACCCGAAAGAUGGUGAACUAUUCCUGAGCAGGACGAAGCCAGAGGAAACUCUGGUGGAAGUCCGAAGCGAUUCUGACGUGCAAAUCGAUCGUCUGACUUGGGUAUAGGGGCGAAAGACUAAUCGAACCAUCUAGUAGCUGGUUCCUUCCGA
rnacentral:rRNA from 1 species